ensembl:lncRNA
CUUAUUCUGCAUAUGUAUGCACAUUGAGAUUUGCACUGUUAGCAGAUACGUAUAUGAAUGAGAUACUUGGCAAUGAAAUUGCAGAAAAGCAAGAUUUCAUUUGACUUCUGCUUCCAUGAUGUGGAUUUGGAAGCUUCCCACUUUUACCUUACCAGCCCUUGAAAUACUUAACUCUUAAGUUGCCACUACAUUUGUGUAGCUAAGCAAGAGGAGGAAGGAUUUCUUCCUGAAGGACAGGUGGCUGCUGCUCCAAGCAUGGGGAUCCUGCCAUAUUCUGAGGUGUCUCCCUGGCAUGGGUUCAAAGCAUGAUUGGGACCUCCAGUUCCUGGGUCCAGAAACCUUGGGGGCAAGCUCAGGACAAGAGGAUGCCAUAGUUUGUUUAGAAGAAAAACCCUACAUCUCUGGAUGAAUUCAAAAGAGAUCAGAUGAAGUAUUAAUUGUAUGUAAGGCACGAAAUAAAAUAUAUGCGAUGGAGAGUUGCAAAAUGAAAAAUGAAGAACCUUGGUUUUGGUGGGGACUUGAUUUGGGAUUUCACUAGCUCCUCAGUUUGCCUAUCUAGAUACAGAGAUGUGGGGGCAGAUGCAAAGCCUGUCGUUCCUGAAGCGUCUGCACAUUCUGUACCUCUUGUUCCUUGAUUACUGUUUUCUCCUGGCUUCCAGCAGGCUGCCUGCCCACCUGUGUGCUUUCAGAGCUUCCCUCUUAACUGUGUAACCAAAAGGAGUUCAGCUAUCAUCUUGAGUUAUUUUCAACCUUUAGCAAGGAAUCUCUUAAAUAAUGAUGAAACAUAGUGUGACAGAAACUGGAAUAAAU